rnacentral:rRNA from 1 species
AGCCAGACUCCUACGGGAGGCAGCAGUGGGGGAUAUUGCACAAUGGGGGAAACCCUGAUGCAGCGACGCCGCGUGAGUGAAGAAGUAUUUCGGUAUGUAAAGCUCUAUCAGCAGGGAAGAAAAAAGACGGUACCUGACUAAGAAGCCCCGGCUAACUACGUGCCAGCAGCCGCGGUAAUACGUAGGGGGCAAGCGUUAUCCGGAUUUACUGGGUGUAAAGGGAGCGUAGACGGCUGUGCAAGCCAGAUGUGAAAGCCCGGGGCUCAACCCCGGGACUGCAUUUGGAACUGUGUGGCUGGAGUGUCGGAGAGGCAGGCGGAAUUCCUAGUGUAGUGGUGAAAUGCGUAGAUAUUAGGAGGAACACCAGUGGCGAAGGCGGCCUGCUGGACGAUGACUGACGUUGAGGCCCGAAAGCGUGGGGAGCAAACAGGAUUAGAUACCCCGGUAGAC